rnacentral:rRNA from 1 species
CCCUUAGAUGUUCUGGGCCGCACGCGCGCUACACUGAUGCAUUCAACGAGCCUAUCCUUGACCGACAGGUCCGGGUAAUCUUUGAAUCUGCAUCGUGACGGGGAUAGAUUAUUGCAAUUAUUAAUCUUCAACGAGGAAUGCCUAGUAGGCGCAAGUCAUCAGCUUGCAUUGAUUACGUCCCUGCCCUUUGUACACACCGCCCGUCGCUCCUACCGAUUGAAUGAUCCGAUGAAUAUCAUGGACUGAGAGUGUUAGAGUUUUCGGACUUCUACACUUCUCGGGAAGUGAAGUGAAUCUUAUCAUUUAGAGGAAGGAGAAGUCGUAACA